UACGUAGGGUGCAAGCGUUGUUCGGAAUUACUGGGUGUAAAGGGUUCGUAGGCGGUGUGGCAAGUUGGGAGUGAAAUCUCUGGGCUCAACCCAGAGGCUGCUUCCAAAACUGCUGUGCUUGAGUGUGAGAGAGGCUCGUGGAAUUGCAGGUGUAGCGGUGAAAUGCGUAGAUAUCUGCAGGAACACCCGUGGCGAAAGCGGCGAGCUGGAUCACUACUGACGCUGAGGAACGAAAGCUAGGGGAGCAAACAGG
rnacentral:rRNA from 1 species